rnacentral:rRNA from 1 species
AUGAGGGUCAUAGAGAAUUUGAACAAAAGCGCCGUCUUCUACAAAGCCGGUGAUAUUGAAAAACAAGAAGAGAAUGAGUAUGGUGAUAAUAGUAAAACUAGAAACUAUGGUGGAGAACCUCGUAAAGAAUGGGUAUAUCAUCCUGAUAUGGAAAAUUUAAGAACACCAGCAAAAAGGAAUGUGCAAGAGGAUGAUGAAGAUGAUCUUAAUGAUUCUGAAGAAAAUAGACCUUAUUAUUGCACACCUGAAUAUUGGGAUAGUUUCAAGGGCGAUAAAGAAGAUCCUAUCAAAGUUCCUGAGGUAUUUGAUGAGAAAUCUGUUACAUCUUUAGGAACAGAUGAAAUCGCAUCACAUGGAUCAGUAGGUUCUAUUGGAGAAGAUGAGGUACGGGAGGAGGUUGUUGGGAAAUGGAAGUGCAAGGUAUCAAACCUUGUGAAGUCUCCUUAUGUGCGUACUAUACCGACUAAGCGUGCAAAACGUUCCGCAAAAGCAAAACUAUUCGAGAAAGAAGUCUUUCAAGAUGAAUAUGAUGUGAUUAAAGUUGGUGUUAAGUUUGUCCGUGCUUAUGAGCAGUCAGGAAAACAUAGAAAAACGGAAAUAUUCAAUGAUGGCAUGUGCGAAGGUCUCAGUGCAGAGAGGGAUUGUAAGAUUCUUGACCAUCAAUGGCUAAUCGGUGAUAGAAAACAACUUGGAUAUGACAUAUGUGAUGCGAGUGCGAGCGGUGCUGUGAAUUAUCCGGAUGUGUCUACCUGGCCUAUUAAAACGUAUAAGAUGCCACAACAUGAAGAUGGGUGA